rnacentral:rRNA from 2 species
ACCGAGAUUCAACAUGGAACGAGUGGCGGACGGGUGAGUAACACGUGGGUAACCUGCCCUUAAGUGGGGGAUAACAUUUGGAAACAGAUGCUAAUACCGCAUAGAUCCAAGAACCGCAUGGUUCUUGGCUGAAAGAUGGCGUAAGCUAUCGCUUUUGGAUGGACCCGCGGCGUAUUAGCUAGUUGGUGAGGUAAUGGCUCACCAAGGCGAUGAUACGUAGCCGAACUGAGAGGUUGAUCGGCCACAUUGGGACUGAGACACGGCCCAAACUCCUACGGGAGGCAGCAGUAGGGAAUCUUCCACAAUGGACGCAAGUCUGAUGGAGCAACGCCGCGUGAGUGAAGAAGGCUUUCGGGUCGUAAAACUCUGUUGUUGGAGAAGAAUGGUCGGCAGAGUAACUGUUGUCGGCGUGACGGUAUCCAACCAGAAAGCCACGGCUAACUACGUGCCAGCAGCCGCGGUAAUACGUAGGUGGCAAGCGUUAUCCGGAUUUAUUGGGCGUAAAGCGAGCGCAGGCGGUUUUUUAAGUCUGAUGUGAAAGC